ACGCAUGUGCCCGUUGUCUGUCAGCGCCGACAAGGUUGGUUCUAUGUUAAGGCCCUGCGUCCUCACGUAAGAGGGCAUGAUUCAUAAGGUAGGUACGGAUUGCAUCUUCAUCUCUAUUUUUCAUUUGGUCUCGAUUCUUUCACUUGGUGCUACACAAGGUCAGGUCAGCUUGGAACAUCUGCCUCCCAAAUUCAGGUCAAGGAGGUCAUAAUCUCCUUCUAGAUAUCUUAGGGUUUAGAUUUAAACGAAUAGAUGUAGCCAUAUCAAUGUGCAAAGUAGAGGAAGUCGUAGUGAACAUUCAUAAGCUUGCUCUUGUGCUAGAUAAGAAAGAUUCAAAAAACUAUUAUGCAACGGUCACCAGAGCUUUACUGCUCUUUGUAUGCACUGCAAGAAUUAUUCUGCAAGGGUAGCCGGCUGCACAUUUGUUGUUUUCCCAGUCAUUUAAGAAUAUUAGUUAAAGUGGAUGGUGAUACGAUGUUUAUACCAUUUGAGGUAUCUAUUCUUUUACAAAGCAUGUGAAAAUACUUAAGGUUCUUUUAAAGAAGAGAGAUAGGGAGGGAGGGAGGAAAACUCAAUUUGUGCAACUAAAACUGACGAUUCUAAUCCAAACUGGAAGUGUUGCCCACGGAAAUUCAGAACCGUCGUAGUUGUCGUUGACUUGGACCUUAGUUAUUUCAGAUUUCAGAAUUGCAUUUGUGCAGUAAUUCUCUAGAAGUCGUGUAAUACAGACAUAUUAAUAAGAUUUUUCUUGGAUAUGCAGCAAACAAAUACUUCAGGCACGAUGGAUAUUGAUGUAGACUACAUCAAAGUGCUGCAGGACCAAAUUGAGGUAUGCUCCACACAGACACAGCGUCUUAAAAAAUUAUCAUUUUCCACUGCAUAAUAACAUGUUCUGUUAUUUUUUAGACAAGUACAAACUGGCUAAGUAAUAAUACAGAUAAAAAGCCAUACAUUCUCAUUUUUCUUCUCUGUAUUUUUUCUUGUUCAUACCUGCAGAAAAAUUGUGGUGGUGAUGAUUGAUCUGUAUUUUUUUGAAGGGGGUCAUUGGACUCCACUGUAGCAUAGGUGAUAAUUCCUCACCCUAUAUUUGCGUGUAGUAGCCUCAAACAUCAACUUUCUUAUGAUUUUUCUCUAGCAUGUUGCUCGCUGGUUUUGACUAUUGAUUUUGGUAGACGGUGCCCAGUUUAGGACAUGAUCCAACUCUCAGUUACAUACAUGGACCUUCUCUUUCUACAUCUCUAUGGUAGUAAACUUUCUUACUUUAGAGACGGAUCAGAAGGCGUUUCUUUUGCUUUUGGUGUUGAGGAUGCACCAAACUAUGCACAAAAUGAAGGUACUAGACAAUAAUGCACUUUUAGAUGGUACACUGGUGCUGAUGAAUCAAUUUUUUUGUUACUGCUUUAUGCUUCUGACAGUGUGCGCUAGCUUAUCUAUU
rnacentral:lncRNA from 1 species